rnacentral:tRNA from 1 species
UCCUCGAUAGCUCAGUCGGUAGAGCUCACGGCUGUUAACCGUGUUGUCGUAGGUUCGAGCCCUACUCGGGGAG